rnacentral:rRNA from 1 species
GAUGAACGCUGGCGGCGUGCCUAAUACAUGCAAGUAGAACGCUGAAGGAGGAGCUUGCUCUUCUGGAUGAGUUGCGAACGGGUGAGUAACGCGUAGGUAACCUGCCUGGUAGCGGGGGAGAACUAUUGGAAACGAUAGCUAAUACCGCAUGACAACAGUUAUUGCAUGAUAACUGUUUAAAAGGGGCAACUGCUCCACUACCAGAUGGACCUGCGUUGUAUUAGCUAGUUGGUGAGGUAACGGCUCACCAAGGCGACGAUACAUAGCCGACCUGAGAGGGGGAUCGGCCCCACUGGGACUGAGACACGGCCCAGACUCCUACGGGAGGCAGCAGUAGGGAAUCUUCGGCAAUGGACGGAAGUCUGACCGAGCAACGCCGCGUGAGUGAAGAAGGUUUUCGGAUCGUAAAGCUCUGUUGUAAGAGAAGAACGAGUGUGAGAGUGGAAAGUUCACACUGUGACGGUAUCUUACCAGAAAGGGACGGCUAACUACGUG